rnacentral:rRNA from 1 species
UACGAAGGGGGCGAGCGUUGUUCGGAUUUACUGGGCGUAAAGGGCGCGCAGGCGGUUCUGUUUGUCGAGUGUGAAAGCCCCGGGCUCAACCUGGGAACUGCGCUCGAAACGGCGGAACUAGAGUUCGGGAGAGGAGAGUGGAAUUCCCAGUGUAGAGGUGAAAUUCGUAGAUAUUGGGAAGAACACCGGUGGCGAAGGCGGCUCUCUGGAUCGAUACUGACGCUGAGGCGCGAAAGCGUGGGGAGCAAACAGG